UUACAGCAAGUGCAGUAGCUGUUAAGUGAACAGAAGACAACGAUCUUGAAAGUAACCAGGAUCGUAGUGUUUGCCAAACAAAGAAGAAACUGAUGGAGUGUACACAGAGAUACUAGCCAACCUAUGAAGAACAAGACUAAAGUGAUUAAGCAUUGGGUUAGUCCAUUGAUGAUAAGUGAACGGGAGAUCACAAGGAGAAAGUGAGCUGGACAUGCCACAAAUCUGAAGUGUCUUGCUAUUCAGAAGAGACCAGAACAAGGAACAAGCCAUUAGUGUCUGAGAUCAGUCUAGUCAAACAGAAGAGUUGAAGCACUGCACAAGUGAAGGAAGAAGUGUUCUACAUUGAAGAUCCAAUGAACACUCUUCAGGAUCGUAGUGUUGUCUCAAUCAGUCAAUGAGCAACAUUCAACAAGACACACUACGAUCAGGUCCAAGAAUGUGCAUCAGAAUCAUAGAGUUCGGUCAUCUGAAGAUUGAAGCAUUUGCAACGCUUUAAUCUGAAGAGUGAUAUUCGAUGCAAAAGGACAGAUCCUAAUGUUCCAAUCAAAAAAUCAGAAAGGAGAAAUAAAGAAGACUACCUGCCCGAGGCAUCAAAGUGACAUCUCUGACGGGGUAGGUGAAACAAUAGACUGCAGUGCCAGAAAAUUGAAAAAGGGGAUGUCAUGUCAUAUCUGCAGUCUACAUCAAAUAACUCGAGAUCUGCGAAGCAAUUCAAAUAGCUCCCAACGGCUACAUUACAACGGGAAGGUUGUGGAGGAGUAUAAAUCAACAAGAGUUUCAAAGAUCAAAAGGUGUUGAAGUUGUUGAGGUUGGAGAGAUGGUGGACUGAUCAAAAUAAAGUAAAAUAGUGAGUGACCAAUGAAGGUCCGAAAGCUCACUCUACAAUCCACCAAGAACACUUGGAGAUGAACAGAGUAAGAAGUAGAAGUGAGAGUUCUAUUACAAGAAGAGUGUUCUGAACUGCUAAGAGAAAGAAAAGCAUCAAUGUCAUCUUGAUGUCUAUCAUGGGAAGACUCUAAGUACCAGAGAGAAGAGCUUACAGUCAUCUUAGCAAGUCCAUCAUGAGAAGGCAUCAAGUAUCAAGGAAGAAUAUCACCAACGUCAUCAUGAUGUCAAGCAUGAGAAAGUUUCUAAGUACCUAACAGAAGAGCCUACAAUCAUCUUAGAAACUCAUCUUGUGCAGCCAUCAAGUAUCAAGAAGAAUGAUCUUCACUGUAGUUCAACAAGGCAUCAUCGGAAGAGGUUGAGUAUCUGAAGAAGCUGAGCAUCAUAAAACACUCAACUGCACCUCAAGGAUGAUCACGUCAAGAUGCUAAGCAUUCAGAGAUGAAGAGCUUAAAGGACAUCUUAGCAGAAAGGCACCAGCACCAGCACCACCAACAACAACUACAACAACAAGAAGCCAGGGCCUGAGGGGUCCUUGUCUGGAGAGACUAAACGAAAUUCCAAACCUGCUGGGCUUGAAGAGUUCCUAGGGAACUAGAGAAGUUCCAAGGUUGCUGGCCUUGAAGAGUUCUGAGUGAACUGAAGUUCCAAGGUUGCUGGCCUUGAAGGAAUCUUAGUGAUUCAGGGUGCUGCCCUUCCUUAGUGGAAAUCCUGCUAGUUGAAAGCAGAAGAGUGGAUUAGGAGCUUGAGUCUCUGAACCACUUAAAAUUCCUUGUGUCAUUUACUUUAUGUCAUUUACAUUAUGUACCUAACUGCUAUAACUGCUAUGUAUGUAUUAACUGCUUACAACUUAACUAAUUCUAAGAACAAUGUAUAUAUGAUUAUAAAUAUAUCAAUGG
rnacentral:lncRNA from 1 species